rnacentral:rRNA from 1 species
CCCUUAGAUGUUCUGGGCCGCACGCGCGCUACACUGAAGGGAUCAGCGUGUUUUCCCUUCCCGAAAGGGACGGGUAACCCGCUGAACCCCCUUCGUGGUAGGGAUCGGAGCUUGCAAUUGUUCUCCGUGAACCAGGAAUUCCCAGUAAGCGCAAGUCAUAAGCUUGCGUUGAUUACGUCCCUGCCCUUUGUACACACCGCCCGUCGCUACUACCGAUUGAACGUUUUAGUGAGGUAUUUGGACUGGGCCUUGGGAGGUUUCGGCCUCCCUUGUUGCUCGGAAAGACUCCCAAACUUGAGCGUUUAGAGGAAGUAAAAGUCGUAACA